rnacentral:misc_RNA from 1 species
GAAAUGCGAUAAGUAGUGUGAAUUGCAGAAUUCAGUGAAUCAUCGAAUCUUUGAACGCACAUUGCGCCCCUUGGUAUUCCUUAGGGCAUGCCUGUUCGAGCGUCAUCUAAACCUUCAAGCCCUGCUUGGUGUUGGGUGCCUGUCCCGCCUCCGCGCGCGGACUCACCUCAAAUCCAUUGGCGGCCCCCGCGUCGGCCACGAGCGCAGCAGAAACGCGAACUCGUGAGCCCGUCCGGGCGGCUCCCAGAAGCUACACCCACCCAGUUUGACCUCGGAUCAGGUAGGGAUACCCGCUGAACUUAAGC